AUCCUCGCUCGUCCACCUCGCCGGAGAGUCACGCCUCCUCCUCCCAUGGCGCCGCCGCCGGCGAGGAGCCCGGCCUCGGGUCCACGGCGGCGCGCCCUCCUCUUCCCUCUCCUCCUGCUGCCACUGCUUCUGCUCCUACUCCACCUGGCCUCCUCGCCCUCGCCUCGGCCCCUUCCCGCGCCCCGCAAGCCCUCCCAGGCCUGCGACUACUCCGCCGGCGAGUGGGUGCGCGACGCCUCCGCGGGGCCCGCGAUCCGCUACGACCACACCUGCAAGGAGAUCUUCAAGGGCUGGAACUGCAUCGCCAACGCCAAGGCCAACGGCCGCGACCUGCUCCGGUGGCGGUGGAGGCCCACUGGGGCCGGGUGCGACCUGCCCCGGCUCGACCCGCGCCGGUUCCUGGAGCGCCACAGGGACACCAAUAUUGGAUUUGUGGGCGAUUCGUUGAAUCGCAACAUGUUUGUCUCAUUAGUAUGCAUGCUCAGGGGAGUCACUGGUGAGGUUUGCAAGUGGCGUCCUGCAGGGGCAGACCGUGGUUUCACCUUUCUCCGCUAUAACCUCACCGUGGCAUACCACAGGACAAAUCUUUUGGUACGCUAUGGUAGGUAAGAAGUGUUAUUUCAUUUAAGAAGUGUUAUUUCAUUUUUGUUAACACAAAAAAUGGUUAUUUUGCCUUGGAAUAUACUCCCUCCUUUCCAAAUUGUAGGUCGUUCUGACUUUUCUAGAAAAGCCAAAACAACCUAUAAUUUGGAACGGAGACGAAACAAAUUGUGGUCAGCCAGUCCAAAUGGAGGCCCUCUAGAAUCCCUUGGGUAUAAGCAAGGUUACAGAGUUGACGUUGACAUUCCUGACCAAACAUGGGUAGAGUCAUGUAGCUUCCAUGAUGUUCUAAUUUUCAACACUGGGCAUUGGUGGUGGGCACCCUCAAAGCUCGAUCCAAUACAGUCACCAAUGCUGUUCUUUGAGAAAGGGAAGCCGGUUUUACCUCCUUUACUGCCAUCUGCUGGACUGGAUUUGGCUCUUCAACACAUGAUAACAUUUGUGAACAAAGCAAUGGGACCCAAUGCGUUGAAAUUCUUCCGCACUCAAUCUCCUCGACACUUUGAAGGUGGUGAUUGGAAUGAAGGUGGAUCUUGUCAACGUAAACAGCCCUUGUCCUCAGAAGAGGUGGAAGAAUUUUUCUCUUUGGACAAUAAUGGCACAAAUGUAGAAGCACGCUUGGUAAACAAACACUUGAUGAAGGCUCUUGAACAGUCUACUUUCAGAGUUUUGGACAUCACUCGCAUGAGUGAAUUCAGAGCUGACGCUCAUCCUUCAACAACUGGCGGGAAAAAGCACGACGAUUGCAUGCAUUGGUGUCUGCCUGGAUUAACUGAUACAUGGAACGAUUUGCUAGCAGUAAACCUUGAGGCAGUUGAAAGCUAGUCUAAGAAAAGUUGGGAUGUUGCUGUAGAGAUAGAGAACUUCUUCCUAAUUUUUUUCCGGGGCAUGAAUCGGAAGCAUUCAUCUGUACAAUAGAGUCCCCACAGAUUACCGAGUUGGUAUUCACUGCAGCUUGUUCACAUGGGCGAGACCGCGAGAGCAUUCUUCCACUGAUACCAUGCCCUUGUAGAUUUAACCAUAUCGAAGAAUUUUGCACAUAUAUGAAAGCUAGAGUAGCUUUUUUUUUACACUUUUUACAUGUGUAAGUGUAAACUUGCUGAAAUAUGGGAUGAUUUCAUCCCCACAGGGCCACAGCAAUCUCGCCUGUAAAGACCUGUUUGUACUUCGGACUGUUGGGUAUUUGACUGUAAGUUUCGGAGAGUAGUGCAAAGUUUAACAAGCUUGUAUUAAGUUGCGAAUGUCGCCGUGCAUUCGUUCUCUCUAUCAGCAAGAACCAAUAGGAAAUUGUAAUG